rnacentral:misc_RNA from 1 species
GAUGAAGAACGCAGCGAAAUGCGAUAAGUAGUGUGAAUUGUAGAAUUCAGUGAAUCAUCGAAUCUUUGAACGCACAUUGCGCCCUAUAGUAUUCUGUAGGGCAUGCAUGUUCGAGCGUCAUUUGUACCUUCAAGCUUUGCUUGGUGUUGGGUGUUUGUCCUCUCCCUGGUGUUUGGACUCGCCUUAAAACAAUUGGCAGCCAGUGUUUUGGUAUUGAAGCGCAGCACAAUUUGCGAUUCUGGCCUUAAAAUACUAGCGUCCAUAAGUACAUUCUCACUUUUGACCUCGGAUCAUGUAGGGAUACCCGCUGAACUUAAGCAUAUCAAUAAGCGGAGGA